UAUAUAUUAAUUUAAGAACUGGUAUAUUCCUAAUAGGGAGUCUUCUAUAGGUUCCUAGACCACUAAAAUAUCAUAGAUUGCCACCUUAGACUUGAAAUGGAUGAUCCUUAUUCAUCUCAGUCAGACCAGUGAAAGGUACAGAUUCAUGGCAGCUAGUCCAGCAAGCUUCCAAUAGUCAACUUCUAAUCGUCUCCUUUAGGACAAAAAAGAAAUGAUAUGCCUAGGAAGGCCACCAUGCAAUUGAGUGUAUCUGAAUCAUCCUUACAUAAUAUCAUUUCUUACAAUGUGUCCUCAACAUUCUGCUCUGCGUAUAUUUCUCCACCAUCUCCAAAAUACUCUUAGCCCAGUGCUCCUCAAACUUUAAUGUGCAUGUAAAUUAUGACCUUGUUAAAAUGCAGAUUCUAAUCCAAUCAGUCAGGGUUGGAGCCUAAGAUUCCCUGCAUUUUGAACGAGAGUCCAAGUGAUGCCAAAGCUGCCAGUCUAUGACCACACUGAGUGGUCAAGCUCUAGAUGACACCUACAAUAAUUACAGGCAUAAGGCCCCUCUUCUCAAGUAUCAUUUUGCACAGUUCCUGGACUAGGUCAGAUACAGACCCUACUUACCACAUAUAUCUCUGUACUACAAAUAUUAUGUAAUCAGUUUUCCUAAAUCUAGGCACCAAUAUUUUUAAAUAUAUUUUCAUGGUGUAAAUAGAAAUUAAUUUUCUAUAGUAAAUACACUAAGUACCUAAUCACAUUCAUCCAUCUUUAAUGUGAGUAGCAAAAAACAAAGGCACUAUCUUAAUGGUUUUUGAGUGAGACUUUAGCAAAUGCUAUCUUUAUGGAGAAACCUCUAGGCUGCUUUUUAGGAUGUGAGAAAAGUGGGGUAAAGGGAGGAGAACUGGAUGAACAUGGGACAGAGACAGGGAUGGGGCAAAUAUGGGGACACCUGUCUCAAAGAAGCAGCAAAUGAUAUAGAAAAUAAAUAUCUGUUCCAUCCCUGUUCCAGACAAGCCCAUGUACCUGCAAAGUAGGAAGUUGUGUAUCACAUUGCAACAAGGAAUGAUCCUGGCCCUGGUAAAGUCAACAGCAACAGUCAUCACAGGCGAAUCUGCCUAUCAGGGAUUGGAGACUCUCUAAACUCCCGCCUCUCAACCCAGGAAUCAGAGCCUGAGACAGAUAGAUGCUUCAUUCCUGCAUGAGGUGGUAUUCCCGCCAUGAGUCCUGGGCUUCUCCACUGGAUGGCCCUUUGUCUCCUUGGAACAGGUCAUGGGGAUGUCAUGGUCAUCCAGAACCCAAGAUACCAGGUUACUCAGUUGGGAAAGCCAGUGACCUUGAGUUGUUCUCAGAAUCUGAACCAUAGAGUCAUGUACUGGUACCAGCAGAAGCCAAGUCAUGCCCCAAAGCUGCUGUUCCACUACUAUGACAAAGAAUUUAACAAUGAAGCAGACACCCCUGAUAACUUCCAAUCCAGGAGGCCGAACACUUCUUUCUGCUUUCUUGACAUCAGCUCACCAGGCCUGGAGGAUGCAGCUGUGUACCUGUGUGCCAGCAGCAAAGACACAGAGCUGCAGUGCUGCCUCCCCUUUGUUCAUAAACCUCAUUGUUUCCCAGAUCCAGGUGCUUUCUCUAGGACUUCACCCCCGCCACCUCUCACAACAAUAGGAAGUGGGUUUGUGACUGUCAAUAUCUCAUCUGUAGACAGAGUUGAGCACAAACCAAUAAAAACCAUUGACAGUUAUGCCAAGAAUGGAAAAGUGGUUAUACAUGCCUAACAUUCAGUUGGUGGUAUUUUCCCAGAAUUACAUUUAGAACCCAUGCUAGCCUUUUCAGAAGAUGAAUAGGAAUUUUUUCUUUCUUUUUUUUCAUUGUUUUAAUCUAAGUCAGAGGCUUAGAAAUAUAAGAGGUGAUAUGUGAAGAAUGAUGGAGACCCAAUGUCGUAUAAACUCAAGUCUCUG